rnacentral:tRNA from 1 species
CUGUCUUUAGUUUAUGUUAGAAUAAUAGCUUGUCGUGUUGUGGGUGGGGUUUUCCAGGACAGU